UUAGGAAGAUCAUGUGGUAUCUGGGAAGCACUGGAGAGGGAAAAGGCUGAAGAAAGGAAGACUGGAAAAGAAAUACAAGUCCUUCCGCCUUGGCAAAUACGAUAGUACCAUUCCUUUCAGUGUUCCGGUUCUGCUCUAUUGAAUAAGUUCCGGUUUGACUAUGACUACGUGAAAAUGUGGAACCAGACCUUCACCCCACAUUCCAGCUCCAGCUCUACCACACAGGAAGUGCAAUAUCACCUUAGUUAUUCAACACAUUAUGCUCCUCGUGAUACAACCAGAGUUCACAUCAGCAAUCUUGGCAGCUCUCACCACACUGCUGACUCACGACUCUCUCAUGUCCCAAUUUCCUGUCCAUUGUUCUUUCCUCUACUUGGCCUGAUUUCUAAAGGCCUCUCUUGGUUGCAUUAAGCGGGAUUCCUGAGGGAUUCCCUUGGCAGUUACCUUGGGGGAGUCCUCAGGUUUGGGGCUGAUCCAUGUCCUCUAAAUGUAGGACUUCAAAGCUCCCAAAGAUAGGCAGACCCAGUGGGAAGCUGGGAAAUGCUCUCUGACCCCUCUGGGAGAGCUGGCAGUCAGAGGGCUUUUCGGAAAGAGUCAGACCUGAUCCAUAAGUCCCUGGAAAACACCCUGCCCAGGGAGCAAAUGCCACUGUGGUCUUGACUGAGGCUUCCGAAGAGUUUGGGAGCUGCAAUUCAUCCACACGCGCAUUCAUUUUCAAGUAGUGGUUUGCAGUUCGGGCUUUGGAGCUAUAUAAGCCUGGCUUCAAAGCCACUUUCCAACUUUGGGACUUCAGGAAGUCUCCAAAUUUUUAAACCUCCAAUUUUUUUUCCUGUAAAACUGGGGUCUUCAUGGUACUUACUUCAUUGUGUUGCUGAGAGAAUGAAAAGAGAAAGCAUAAAUAAAUGGCUUAGCCUCGUGCCUUGG